rnacentral:sRNA from 1 species
AGCAGCUGUGGUAAUUCCAGCUCCAAUAGCGUAUAUUAAAGUUGUUGCAGUUAAAAAGCUCGUAGUUGAAUUUCGGGGUUAGUAGGUUGGUCGUGCCACUGGUAUGUACUGGUCUCACUGAUUCCUCCUUCCUGAUGAACCGUAAUGCCAUUAAUUUGGUAUUGCAGGGGAGACUGGACUGUUACUUUAGAAAAAAAUUAGAGUGUUUAAAGUAGGCUAACGCUUGAAUACAUUAGCAUGGAAUAACAGAAUAGAACGUUCGAUCUUAUUUUGUUGGUUUCUAAGAUUGAUGUAAUGAUUAAUAGGGAUAGUUGGGGUAUUAGUAUUCAAUUGUCAGAGGUGAAAUUCUUGGAUUUAUUGAAGACUAACUACUGUGAAAGCAUUUGCCAAGGAUGUUUUCAUUAAUCAAGAACGAAAGUUAGGGGAUCGAAGACGAUCAGAUACCAUCGUAGUCUUAACCAUAAACUAUGCUGACUAGGGAUCGGAUGAUAUUAAUUUUUUAAUGAC